GUUUGACUCACCCUUUGUUUCAUCCACAUUACUCUCAAGGCAUCUUCCCCAGUGUUCAAUAAAUACUCGUAAUGUGCCAUUAGCAUAACAAUCACCCCCUGAAAUGUUUUGCCAAGCUAAUACUACAAACAAAAUUUGUUUUGAAUUUUUAUUUUUGUCAGUGAUACACGAUUCUAGUAUGGAGUUGGAUAAGAUUAAACCUCUUGAAAGCGAUAUAAAGGCCCUUGUUGAGCAAACGUUCCAGUAUCGACACUGACCACAAUGAGAUUACUCCUACUAUUUGUUAUUUUGGGCCUUUUUGCAGCAUCCGUUAUGGCUGCUUGUCCCGAACAUCCGGCUAAGGACCCAAAAUGUAGAUGUGAAGAGCCUGGAACUUCAGAUCGACCUUCCUGUGGAUCGUGCAGGACAAAGAAGAUCCGGGUGGGAAUCAUACACUGCAGUGAUUAAUCAGGGAAAAGUUGCUGAAUCGAAACUUAAAAAUUGGUUACAAUAAUACAUUGAAAAUAAACGUAUGAAGAUUA